AAACCAGCACCUCAAGUGGUCAGGAUGAUUAUUGGGCCUAAAGCAUCCGUAGCCGGCUCAGUAAGUUUUCGGUUAAAUCUGUACGCUCAACGUACAGGCUGCCGGGAAUACUGCAGAGCUAGGGAGUGGGAGAGGUAGACGGUACUCGGGAGGAAGUGGUAAAAUGCUUUGAUCUUUCGAUGACCACCUGUGGCGAAGGCGGUCUACCAGAACACGUCCGACGGUGAGGGAUGAAAGCUGGGGAAGCAAACCGGAUUAGAAACCCGGGUAGUCC
rnacentral:rRNA from 1 species